GCAACCAACCUAGCCCAAUCAACAAACAAAAAUACAACAAAACAAAAUUAUCCUACUAAAACAAACCAAAACAUUCUUCACCAUCCUAGUAUAGGAGAUAGAAAAGAUAUAUUGGAGCAAUAGAAAAAGUACCGCAAGGGAAAGAUGAAAAACAAUGAAAUACCAAUUAAGCCCCAAAAAGCAAAGCUUAGCCCUUGUACCUUUUGCAUCAUGAUUUAGCAAGCAUCCUCAAGCAAAGAGAUCUGAAGUCUGAAACCCCGAAACCAAGUGAGCUACUUAAAGGCAGCCCUAUCGGGCAAAAUCCGUCUCUGUGGCAAAAGAGUGGAGAGACCUAUAAGUAGAGGUAAAAAGCCUAACGAACUUGGCGAUAGCUGGUUGCUCAAUAAAAGAAUAUAAGUUCAAACUUAAACCUCCUACAAAACACUCCAAAGUAAAAAGAGAAGUUUAAGACAUAUUCAAUUAGGGUACAGCCUAAUUGAAAAAGGACACAACCUAAAAUGGAGGAUAAAACACCAAAACACGCCACCGUAGGCUUUAAAGCAGCCAUCACCAAAGAAAGCGUCAAAGCUCUACCAAUCACAAAUAACAACAUCAAAUCUUUUCCCCAAACAACACUGAGCUAUUCUACCCAAAUAGAAGUACUAAUGCUAAAAUGAGUAACAAGAAGAAUAAAACUUCUCUAACGCGCUAGCUUAAAUCAUAAUAGACAAACUACUGAUUAUUAACAUACAUAUUAUAAAAUUAAUAACACUUAAAACACCCUAUAAACCAAACUGUUAACCCAACACAGGAGCGCAUAUAAGAAAGAUUAAAACUUGUAAAAGGAACUAGGCAAACAAGCGAGCCCGACUGUUUACCAAAAACAUAGCCCCUAGCAACAAUACAAGUAUUAGGGGUAAUGCCUGCCCAGUGACACUGUUAAACGGCCGCGGUAUUUUAACCGUGCAAAGGUAGCGUAAUAACUUGUCUUUUAAAUAAAGACUAGAAUGAAUGGCCAAACGAGGCUCCACCUGUCUCUUACAAAUAAUCAGUGAAAUUGAUCUUCCCGUGCAAAAGCGAGAAUAACAUUAUAAGACGAGAAGACCCUGUGGAACUUCAAAUAUAAAAUCAACUAUCACUAACACCCACCUAACAGGCACUAUACCAAAUAGCAUUGAUUUUUACUUUUGGUUGGGGCGACCUCGGAGUAAAAAAAAACCUCCGAAAAACUAUUCAAAACCUAGAAUUACAACUCAAGGUGCUCCUGGCAAAACGAUCCAAUAUAUUUGAUCAACGAACUAAGCUACCCCAGGGAUAACAGCGCAAUCUCAUCCUAGAGUCCCUAUCAAUGAUGAGGUUUACGACCUCGAUGUUGGAUCAGGACAUCCUGAUGGUGCAUCCGCUAUCAAGGGUUCGUUUGUUCAACGAUUAACAGUCCUACGUGAUCUGAGUUCAGACCGGAGCAAUCCAGGUCGGUUUCUAUCUAUAAACUUGAGUCUUUUCCAGUACGAAAGGACAGAACAAGACAAGGCCAAUAUCAAAAACAAGCCUUACCUUUACAUUAGUGAAAACAACUUAACUAAUAAUAAACAAAAAUUAUAAGCCCAAAAAUAGGGCUAA
rnacentral:rRNA from 1 species